rnacentral:rRNA from 1 species
GACGAACGCUGGCGGCGUGCUUAACACAUGCCAGUCGAACGGAAAGGCCCCUUUGGGGGUACUCGAGUGGCGAACGGGUGAGUAACACGUGCGUAACCUGCCCUUGACUUCGGGAUAACUUCAGGAAACUGGGGCUAAUACCGGCUAGGAAUCCUUGCUGCCUGGUGGGGGUUGGAAAGCUUCGGCGGUUUUGGAUGGACUCGCGGCUUAUCAGCUUGCUGGUGGGGUAGUGGCUUACCAAGGCUUUGACGGGUAGCCGGCCUGGGAGGGCGACCGGCCACAUUGGGACUGAGAUACGGCCCAGACUCCUACGGGAGGCAACAGUGGGGAAUAUUGCACAAUGGGCGGAAGCCUGAUGCAGCAACGCCGCGUGCGGGAAGACGGCCUUCGGGUUGUAAACCGCUUUCAGCAGGGGCGAAGCUUGUGGUGACGGUACCUGCAGAAGAAGCACCGGCUAACUACGUG